rnacentral:rRNA from 1 species
UGGGGAAUAUUGGACAAUGGGCGCAAGCCUGAUCCAGCCAUGCCGCGUGAGUGAUGACGGCCUUAGGGUUGUAAAGCUCUUUCGCACGCGACGAUAAUGACGGUAGCGUGAGAAGAAGCCCCGGCUAACUUCGUGCCAGCAGCCGCGGUAAUACGAAGGGGGCUAGCGUUGCUCGGAAUCACUGGGCGUAAAGGGCGCGUAGGCGGACGUUUAAGUCAGAGGUGAAAGCCCAAGGCUCAACCUUGGAAUGGCCUUUGAUACUGGACGUCUCGAGACCGGAAGAGGUGAGUGGAACUGCGAGUGUAGAGGUGAAAUUCGUAGAUAUUCGCAAGAACACCAGUGGCGAAGGCGGCUCACUGGUCCGGUUCUGACGCUGAGGCGCGAAAGCGUGGGGAGCAAA